rnacentral:rRNA from 8 species
AAACCAACAGGGAUUGCCCCAGUAACGGCGAGUGAAGCGGCAACAGCUCAAAUUUGAAAUCUGGCCCCCAGGGCCCGAGUUGUAAUUUGCAGAGGAUGCUUUUGGCGACGCGCCUUCCGAGUUCCCUGGAACGGGACGCCAUAGAGGGUGAGAGCCCCGUCUGGUUGGACGCCGAGCCUCUGUAAAGCUCCUUCGACGAGUCGAGUAGUUUGGGAAUGCUGCUCUAAAUGGGAGGUAUAUGUCUUCUAAAGCUAAAUACCGGCCAGAGACCGAUAGCGCACAAGUAGAGUGAUCGAAAGAUGAAAAGCACUUUGAAAAGAGGGUUAAAUAGUACGUGAAAUUGUUGAAAGGGAAGCGCUCACGACCAGACUUGAGCCCGGUGAAUCAUCCAGCGUUCUCGCUGGUGCACUUCGCCGGGCCCAGGCCAGCAUCGGUUCGCCGCGGGGGAGAAAGGCGUCGGGAACGUGGCUCCCUCGGGAGUGUUAUAGCCCGUCGCACAAUACCCUGGGGCGGACCGAGGUUCGCGCAUCUGCAAGGAUGCUGGCGUAAUGGUCGUCAGCGAC